rnacentral:rRNA from 1 species
CGGGCCUGGUUUUCGGAUCAGGUCAGUGGCGCAAGGGUGAGUAAUGCGACGGCAACCAACCCCAUGGUUGGGCAUAGCCGCGGGAAACUGCGGGUAAUUUCCAGCGACGUUCGCGGCGGGCAUCCGCUGCGAACCAAAGCUCCGGCGCCGUGGGACGGACCGUCGUGGUAUUAGGUUGUUGGCGGGGUAAUGGCCCACCAAGCCUCUGAUGCCUACCGGGCGUGCGAGCGUGGCCCGGCACACUGGGACUGAGACACUGCCCAGACUCCUACGGGAGGCUGCAGUCGAGAAUCUUCGGCAAUGGGCGCAAGCCUGACCGAGCGACGCCGCGUGGAGGAUGAAGGCCUUCGGGUUGUAAACUCCUGUCGAGGGGGAGGAAGGCGCAAGCUUGACCUAUCCCUGGAGGAAGCACGGGCUAAGUUCGUGCCAGCAGCCGCGGUAAGACGAACCGUGCUAACGUUAUUCGGAAUCACUGGGCUUAAAGCGCGUGUAGGCGGAUGGGGACGUCGGUUGCUGAAAUCCCCCGGCUCAACCGGGGAACGGGCGCCGA